AGCGAACGCUGGCGGCAGGCCUAACACAUGCAAGUCGAACGAACCUUUCGGGGUUAGUGGCGGACGGGGGAGUAACACGUGGGACCGUGCCUUUAGGUUCGGAAUACUUCAGUGAAACUUGUGCUAAUACCGAAUGUGUCCUUCUGGUGCAAGAUUUAUCGCCGUUAGAGCGGCCCGCGUCUGAUUAGCUAGUUGGUUUUGGUAAUGGCGCACUAAGGUAAGGUACGUUACCUGGUCUGGGAGGAACAGCAGCCACAUCGGGACGGAGACGCAGCCGAAACUCCUACGGGAGGCGGCAGAGGGGGAUCUUGCGAAAUGGGGGAAAGGCUGACGCAGCCAGGGCGGGUGAAUGAUGAAGGUCUUAGGAUUGUAAAAUUCUUUCACCGGGGACGAUAAUGACGGUACCCGAAGAAGAAGCCCCGGCUAACUUCGUG
rnacentral:rRNA from 1 species